GACGAACGCUGGCGGCGUGCUUAGCACAUGCAAGUCGAACGGUAAGGCCCUUCGGGGUACACGAGUGGCGAACGGGUGAGUAACACGUGGGUGAUCUGCCCUGCACUUCGGGAUAAGCCUGGGAAACUGGGUCUAAUACCGGAUAGGACCACUGCCUGCAUGGGUGGUGGUGGAAAGCUUUUGCGGUGUGGGAUGGGCCCGCGGCCUAUCAGCUUGUUGGUGGGGUGAUGGCCUACCAAGGCGACGACGGGUAGCCGGCCUGAGAGGGUGACCGGCCACACUGGGACUGAGAUACGGCCCAGACUCCUACGGGAGGCAGCAGUGGGGAAUAUUGCACAAUGGGCGCAAGCCUGAUGCAGCUACGCCGCGUGAGUGAUGACGGCCUUCGGGUUGUAAACCUCUUUCAGCACCGACGAAGCGCAAGUGACGGUGGGUGCAGAAGAAGGACCGGCCAACUACGUGCCAGCCGCCGCAGUAA
rnacentral:rRNA from 1 species